rnacentral:rRNA from 1 species
GAUGAACGCUGGCGGCGUGCCUAAUACAUGCAAGUCGAGCGAACGGACGAGAAGCUUGCUUCUCUGAUGUUAGCGGCGGACGGGUGAGUAACACGUGGAUAACCUACCUAUAAGACUGGGAUAACUUCGGGAAACCGGAGCUAAUACCGGAUAAUAUUUUGAACCGCAUGGUUCAAAAGUAAAAGACGGUCUUGCUGUCACUUAUAGAUGGAUCCGCGCUGCAUUAGCUAGUUGGUAAGGUAACGGCUUACCAAGGCAACGAUGCAUAGCCGACCUGAGAGGGUGAUCGGCCACACUGGAACUGAGACACGGUCCAGACUACUACGGGAGGCAGCAGUAGGGAAUCUUCCGCAAUGGGCGAAAGCUUGACGGAGCAACGCCGCGUGAGUGAUGAAGGUCUUCGGAUCGUAAAACUCUGUUAUUAGGGAAGAACAUAUGUGUAAGUAACUGUGCACAUCUUGACGGUACCUAAUCAGAAAGCCACGGCUAACUACGUG